GAUUAGCGGCGGGCAGAGGUUAAACGGCGGCGCCCCGGCGGCAGCCCCGCGGGACCACCCCGGCGCUGCCGCCGCCCGCCGGUCCGGGCGCGCUCCGGGUGCGCGGCGCCCGCUCCGCUCCGCUCCUCCCCCCCGGUGCGGCUGCCCCGAGCCGCGCGUCCCCGCCUGCCCCGGGCCGUGCGGCGCUGCCGCGCUCGGUCGGCAGGAAAAAAACAAAAAACCAAAAAAAUGGAGAAAAGCCCCAAAUAAUAAAAAACAGCCCCCAAAAAAGGAGCUUCCCGGCCUCGCCGCCGGUAAAUCCCGGUGGAUGCUCCUCAAAGUUGGCAGCGCGGUGCGCUGCGCGCCUGGCAGGCGGGCUGCGCGGCGAAACCGGGAAAAAGGCAGGAAAACGGGGGGAAAAAAGUGAGAAAAGGGAAAAGAAUGGGGGGAAAUCGCGUGCGGUCCCCGGGACCCCCCCGCGGGAGGAGCGGGGGGAGCUCGGAGCCCCCCGGCUCGCCCGGGCCCGGCGGGCAGAGCUCCGCAGCCGCGGAGCCCCGGCGGGGCGGGCGGAGGCGCAGCCCCGGGACCCCCGGGCCGCUGCCGAGUUCCAAAAUGACCUUUCCUGCAUCGUUUUGGAGGUAACCGAGCUGCGUAAUUAUAUUUGCACUUCCAGAAGACUGCAUCAGAGUCCCCUUAUUGGUUUGAAAUUCCAUUAAAUAUAUUGCAAGAGCUCCUAGGUUAAGCUUGAUUUAAAUUUGCAUACAUUUUCAUAUAUUUAGCAGAAAUAAAAGAAGGCUUGCAGCUACCAGAAAGUCAUUAAGGCAUUAGUUUCUCUGAGAAGACAGAUCUGAAGAAAAUUCAAGAAAAUGAGAAAAUAGAUCUAAAUAAGGUGGAGUUGAAUACAGUGGUUAACUACAAGCAAUAUGUUCUGAAGAUGAUGGUGUUCAGACAAAUACCCAAUUUGAUUCUGAUAAAUUGGAUGCAAGACUUUGACCAGCAUGAGAAGAACAGGUAUUGUGGAAGCAGGCAGCAUCCCAGACCUGUGGAGGAGCUCAGCAGGAGGAGAACAAGUGGGGGAAAAUAUUCCCAGUGCCAUGUUGCUGCUGGUGGCUCAGGCAGUUUGAACAGGGGCCUGUGGUGGUCCAGCUCAUUGGAAACUUUUUGUGCAGGAACCAGGAGGAUGCUACAGCUGGAGCUAAUCCGUGAGAAAACAGCACCACCAGCAACAACAGUUUGCUCUAGAUGAGAAAAAAGGUGGAAGAGGUGGGGCUAAGAGGGAUUUUUCUCCUUCAAAAGAAGAAAUGUUGCUUUCCAGGCACCUGUAUGCUGAAAUGGAUUGAAAUGCAGUGUGAAUUGAAGAAAUAUUUGGAAACUGAGGUGAUUGUUACCUUUCUGUGCUUGGGUGUUCAUGGAGUUUCUGACCAACACCUAAAAUUCAGUUUUCAAGGCUGGAGGCAGCAAAAGGCAAGUUAUGUAAAGACAAAAUGAGACCAAUGGAAAGAAAUUUCCUCCCAGCACAUUGGGAACCCUUCUUAACAAUAAAAACCACCGAAGGAACCACAAUGUGUGUGAUUUUGCAGCUCUGUGUUCAGUCCAAAUACAAGGCAACAUUUCCCCUGGAUUUAUGGAGUUUAACACUGCAGGGAGUUUGGGAUCUUCACAAGCUAUAACCAUAUUUUACUGGUGCCAAAUCUUUUGUGAUCCAAGCUUGUUUGUGAUGGGAAUGGGCUCAAGAUUUCAAAUCUGUGCCUCUGCCGGUUUUGACACCGUGCAAUGAAGCAUCCGAGCUCUCAGAUGUCUGGCUCUUCCGAGUUGUGAAAUGAGAAAACAAACAAACCCAGCCAUUCCAGCCCUGUCAAUCUCCUUCUCAGUGGACAGAUGCCCUGGUGCCAGAAAAGCUUCAUCCCAUGAUCCCACACCUCUUGGCAGUGCCAAAAAAAAAAAAAAAAGCCAGAGAUCUACUGGAGGCAAAAGCACGACGGUUCCUCACCUCAAAAAAUGGGAUUUAUGGCCACACUGGAGCUCCUGGGUGAGGCUGUGUGGGAAAAGGUGUGCAGCCUCUUGUUCUUGCAUUCCUGGUCUCCCAGAUAAUCCAUCUGAUCUGCUCCUGGAGCAAGGGGCCUCUGGACAGUCAUGGAUUACCUGGUGAGGGUCCAGGUUUCCGGAAUGAGCCGGGCUAAGAAUUUGCCAAGGGCAUCAACAGCAGUUUUCCCAGGCUCCAGCACAAGGAUUAUGUAGUCAAUCCACAAAUGACUCAAAUCUUUGAAGAAAAGGACAUGGUUAUCAGAGAGGCUUUGACGACAGCAAGGACGGGAGUGCUAUCUGCCUUUUUCCAUCAGAGAUUCCCAUUCCCUCUCAUUAACAUACCCAGGACAUCAGCACAGCCAUCGGCCCGAGGGAAUCGCUUCCAACUUUUAAGGGAAUGUGCACAAGACCUCGGCCCUGCGUUGUUUCAGACAGAUCAAACCACAUUUGCCUCGUGUAAGGGCUCUUCAGUCCCAUCGAGGAUGAGAUGUGAAAGCUACUGUAAGUGGGGAAAGGAGAUGCCUCUACCUGCUCUCUCCCAGUGCCCUGUGAUGAAAAAUGCUUUUGGAGCAACACUGGAAAUAAGCCAUCAAAAUAUCUGAUUAAACCUCUUAGGAAACUCUCACUAAUCACCUUCUCUGCUCUUGAUGGAAUGUAUUUAUGCAUUAUAAAUAUACUUACUAUGUGUGUGUGCUCCAUAAAUCACACCCAGCACUUGUAUGUGAUGUAUAAGCACAUUCUAUAGAACACACACAAAUACAGAUGCCAAGCUCCCACAGAGUUCAUCACUGGAAAAUGUUUGAAGGAUCUGAUCCUUAAUAUUUAAUGAGCAAGAUGCUAUUUCCUUCCUCAGCUUUUAUCUCUGGUUUGGCAGAGUCAUUAAAUUUGUUGUUUCCUUGCAGGAUUAUAUAAUUUAUGACCUAAUUUUAGACUUUUGUGUAACCGCGUUGAAACACUCGUGGUGUAUCCUGAUUUCUCCACACGGAGUGUUCCAGCAUCAGCCACCAGCUCCAACACGACUUCUGUGAGAUGCCUGUCAGCAAGGAGGCACAGGCAUGAAAGCAAAACAGCCCAACAAGAUUCAGGCAGCAUUAGAAGAUUAGUUUUGCCCUGCAAAAAAUGUGAUUUAGCAGCAUUUCCAAAGCCAUCUGCGGUGCUGGCAGGAAUCCCCAGGAAAAAAAAUCUCCCCUUUCUGAGGGGAUAAAGUGCAACGGGAAUAGGACAGCUCUGUGGAGAAUUCCUUGUGGCAGAAGGAUGGGCAGCAUGGAGAUUUCUGAGAUGGUUUGGAUGUCACUUCCAUCAAGUAGAAGGAAUGCUACGCUAAAUCUGUUCAUCAAAACUGAGACCUCAUGGAUUAUUUUGUUGGAAAGUCAAGAAAACAACCACUGAUUUUUUUCCCCAGGGCAGAAAUUUGGUGUUAGAGGAGAAAAUGAGAAAACAACCAGACCCCAAAAGAGGGAAAAAGGGAAAACCUGAGAUUAGAGCAGAGAAAAGACAUCAAAAGAAAUUUGAUGAAGCCCUAAUUGUAUCCAAAAUCCAUUUUUGUUUUGAAAUCCAAGGAACUACUGUCAUAAAAUCUGCUCAGAGGGGCUCUAGAGUCAGAAAAUCCUCAUCUCUUGUAUCCCACUUUCAAAAGUACAGUCUAUUCCAUUCUGAAAUCCCAAAAGACUGGGAAAACACCUGGAUUUCUGAUUGGGUGUAUUUGAGUUAGAUGCAAGCAGCUGGGUUUUCCCAGAAAAGUUAUUCUGGAAUUUUUGAGUAACACAAGUUCUGGCAGAGGUGCUGGGGGGUGGUGUGGGUACAGGACCACUGUGAGGUGGGCUCGUGGUGUCACUGCUCUCCCUGGAUGUCUCCUGGCACACAGGAGCGUCGUGGUCCAGGUAAAUCCAGCCAGGAAUCUGCCAGUGGCUUCAGCAGAGCUGGAAUUCUAUCCCAGUGUGACAUGGGCUGGUGACAUGGAGUGAUGUCAAGUCACUGAUGUAGAACUGGAAAGAUUCCUUGUCACAUAACUGAUCCCAUCAGGUUCCCAAAUUUCCCUUGGGAAAUUUUCUACCAAGUUUUCAUUCCCGUUGCAAAUAAAUGGAUAACAUAUUUAGGCAUUAUCCUUAAAAAAGUAAAGAAAUAAUUUCUUUAAGAGAUGGGUGAUCUGUAGAAGACAUUCGUACAAUUUUGCAUUCUAAAUGUGAUUUAUAUUUAUAAAUAAAUUUGCAUAAAAUCUCCA